rnacentral:rRNA from 1 species
GACGUAGGGGGCGAGCGUUAUUCGGAAUUAUUGGGCGUAAAGCGCUCGUAGGCGGGACUGCAAGUCCGUGUUGAAAGACCUCGGCUCAACUGAGGGACCGGCUCGGAUACUGUGGUUCUUGAGGCAAUCAGAGGGUGAUGGAAUUCCCGGUGUAGCGGUGAAAUGCGUAGAUAUCGAGAGGAACACCGGUGGCGAAGGCGGGUCUCUGGGCCGUUACUGACGCUGAGGAGCGAAAGCGUGGGGAGCGAACAGG